UAGUCUCGCACAGAUGCAUAUCAAUAAGCGGAGGAAAAGAAACUAACAAGGAUUCCCUUAGUAACGGCGAGUGGAGCGGGAAGAGCUCAAAUUUGAAAUCUUGAAAGGUCACCUUUCACGAAUUGUAGUUUAAAGAAGUGUUUUCUGUUACGAUCGUAAUAUAAGUUCUUUGGAAUAGGACAUCACAGAGGGUGAGAAUCCCGUCUAUGAUUGCGAUUUGUAGCUUUGUGAUACACUUUCAAAGAGUCGGGUUGUUUGGGAAUGCAGCCCAAAACGGGAGGUAAAUUUCUUCUAAGGCUAAAUAUUGGCGAGAGACCGAUAGCGAACAAGUACCGUGAGGGAAAGAUGAAAAGAACUUUGAAAAGAGAGUUAAAUAGUACGUGAAAUUGUCAAAAGGGAAGCGCUUAACACCAGUGUUGUUUUCUGAAAAUCAACCUCUGUUAGCUUUAUGCAUGUUUGUUUAGACCUAAUCAGCUAUCCUUGCAUGUUCUAUUGUUUGCAGUGGUGCACUUUUCAGUUUACAGGUCAACAUCAGUUUUUUUUACCGUAAAAAAGUUAAAGAAAGGUAGCUCAUGGCUCCGGUCGUGAGUGUUAUAGUCUUUUUCCUAUGCGGUAGGAGAGACUGAGGUCUGCAGUGUAGGCUAUUUGGCUAGAUACUCAGGUGCUAUGUGAUACCAUUUCAUAAACAACUUGUUGAUUAUGUUUUGUCUAUUGCAUACUCGCUUGUACUAUCAUACCUACGCUUAGGAUGUUGAAGAUGUAGCACAUCAU
rnacentral:rRNA from 1 species